CUCAGUCAUAAAAGAUUAUAUUUUCCCUACCUCUUUACUGCUUGGUGGUGGCACUACACAGCAUGGUAGCCCCACUUCUUCUGCACAGAACUCAUGUUUCAGUGCUCUGCCUGGAGGACUGUACAAAAUAAAGUUUUCCAUGGUAAUCAAGUCAAAAUGACAUGUCCCCAUUUCCUAAUACAACCCUGAAAGUGCUGAACAGCAGUAAAACAAACACUUAAUGCAUUUACGGUUUAAACACACUUAAAACAAAGAUCCUAAAGCCUUUACAAAAACAAACUGCACUUCUCAACCAUCUUGCUGGAAUUCUAGUGUCCAUCAUAAAGAUUUUCCAGCUACAGAUUAUUUUUAGUUCAAGUUUCAACUCAGUAAAUUAAAGCAUACAGACUGAAAGUGCAUCCAAAUAUCAUAGUCAGUUUAAGUUGUUUGAUUUUUUUCACAAUUUAAGAUAUGAUGCAUAGAUCUCCAGUGAAGACAUGAUGGUUUAUUCACAUCAUCCCACAGAUGAAGAGAGUCCCAUGUGUUUAUAUGGUGCAGGGCUGGUUUGCUUCAGCAGACGAGUGCAUAUUAGCAAACUGAAAAGGAAUGCAGCAGCCCAUCUCCUAUAAACACCAUUUGGCUAUUUAAGCCUACACUGCACUAGAAAUAGAAUUAUAUCUCACAAACACCACCAAAUGCCGGAGCAUAUAAUUUAUUCACUGCACGCUAUAUUAUUUUCAAAUCAGAUUUUAUCUGUCUCUGACUAUAUAAAGCUGGGGAAAUAGUCUCAUACACAUGGAACACUUCUGUACUGAGGAAUUACACCACUUUGGAAUCAAUUUACAGGCUAUGCAUUGAAGAUCAAUCUACAAGGCAGAUUCAGAUUUUGAUUUGGGUCUUGCUUCUGGUUCAGUGACUGACCUCAGACAUGUUCCCCAGCAUUUGGUUUUCACUGAGACUUUGCUGGCUCUACUUUUCUUCGUCCUAUACCAUCUUUUACUGCCAUCCCUGGUAUCUCCUCCUUGCUUAAACACAACCUCUGGAAUACUGUCUUCUCCAAACUAAGAACAAGAAUCCUAACAUUCCCACAAACACUGUUCAUUCAGGUGAAGACCACGCAGUCAGGUCUAUAGUCUCCAAACCUUCCUGCAAAUUGUCCCUUCUUUUGGCCAAAUAAGGAUCAUAAUCCAUUUUAGUGCCUCAACAUGUAAAGAUGAGGCAAAUUAAAAAAAAUAAAAAGGUUACAUUUGAUGAAGGCAGAUAAUGAAGCCUUAGGACACAGCCGUGUCUAAUCCAUCUAUUUCAAAUUGGGAGUUUGAAACAUACUUUGGACUGUACAGUUUUGCACACAGAGGAUAUGCUCUGAUCUUUUAUGCCUCCUCCUUUAGUUAAGCUAGGUUUUCACACCGACAGCAGAGCUAUUGUGUGCAUGACAUUUACUGCUGGAAAUGGAUGCUGGGUCUUGGCAAUGAAUGGAAAAUCUGAGCAUUAGCAAUGAAAAGAUAUCUUCAGUGUUCCUUGGUCUCUUGUUAGUCAUUCAACGUAGAGGAAUUCAGCACAGAGGAAACACGCUGGGUGAGUGUCAGUGUUCCCAGCUCUGCCUGAAGAAAAACCCUGCUAUAAAACAGAGUAUGGGCACCGAGCAUGACAGGAUCCAGAUUUUCAGUGCACACCAAUGAAAACCUUCCUGACAGAAGAGUUCCAGAAACCCAGCUGGGGUUUAUUUGGGAAACGUGCAGUUUUCCACAUAAGAAAGUAAAUUGAGAUGCUUGUUUUCAGAUUGUAUGGAAAAAUCUAAUUGCUCUGACUAAUUUGUAUUUAAAUGCAGCUUUAUAGCCUGCAGCAAGAAGACAUAGUCGAUAGGCUGGAAAGUAUAGUGUCAUCUGAACCAGAAGUUCCCCCUUUUUUUUUUAAUGUCUCUUGAGAAUGGUGUCCGUGGUCUGUGUCUGACUGCAUUCCCAGGAGACAACACAAGCUCUUUGUACAGCUGCUCCAGAAAAGGAACAGAUCCCUUAUGCUGAAAGUCAUCUCCUCCUGCUGCCUUUGGUUGCCCAGCAUGAUCAAUGGCACAUUUAUAUCCUGAAGCAAAGGGCCCUGCCUUUCCUUCUGAGUGAUUUGAGGUGGUGAAAGUGCUUUGUCAUCUGAUUACCAAAAUACUCCAAGCCAGCCAACCCAGGAAUCUAAACUAGCUGAAAAGGAACAUAAACCAGGCUCCUGUGGAGAGCUGCUCCUCCUCCAAAAGAUUUAUGUCUUUCUCUACAGAUUGCAAAAAUAUAUAAUGGAUCAAGAAGAUAACCACAACUAUAAAGAGAACAGUACAGGAAACUGCUUUGAGUGCUUGCUCAUCCCACUAAAAUCCUCUCGCUGAACACUGCCUCCAAGCAAUGGCUCUCCAUAAGUUUGAGGAAGGAGGGACUGGUUAUCCCCAGAGAAGCUUUUUUCUUUUUCUCUAGCUCUGCAAGUCCUCCAAAUCCAGGAGCUUGGGCCAAAGUGAGAAUAGGCUGAAGAAAAAUGCUUCCUAUCUCAGCUUCACAGUUACUUCUUCAAGUCCUGACAAUGUGAGCCAAAAGUUCCCUGACACAUAAGAAGGGCUCAGGAAACAUAAACAACAUUGCUCCAGCCAAAACACAAAAUGCUGCUUGCACAUUGGUGGAAGAAUUGUAUCUCAGGUGUGAUAGGUGUCCUGAAUGUGAGGUAAGAAAGACUUGGAACUUGGCCUUUGUGUGUCUCUACUCAUGAGCUGCCAAAGCUCAUCUUUGACAGGACACCUACAAUGACACAACCAAUUCAAAACCACAGAAUCAUUUAGGUCUUUAAGACCUUUAAGAUCAUCAGCUACAACCACAAACCUAACAUUGCCAAGACCAUCAAUGGAAAUGGAUUCAGUUUCAACUGGUUAUUGUUAUUUUUUCUGUUUCUAUUUUGAAACCACUUAGGGCUACCCACUGCAGCUGAUACCUGAUCACAGCAGAACUACAAGCGCAAGCAAAUUAAUUGAAUCUAUGCAAAGUAGUGCUGCUGCUUUAAGCUGGGGUCUGCCUCCAGUGAGUAACUUAGUGUGCAGUAGCCAGACUGAAUUUGCAACCCACAAGAUCAUCUGCACAAGGCUUUUGCAUAGUCAUUGGGAAAGCAGAGUUAUUUACUGUAAUAUAUAUUGUGUAAGUAAGAACACCCAUAAAAAUAUAGUUCAAAGUAGCUAAUGAACUAUACAUUCACCUCCUGGCUAAGUAUCCACUUAUUUGUUCCAUGUAUUAAUGUACAACCUAAAUUAGAAACCAUAUGAGCUGGUGAACCCCAUGUUUCCUUUUGUGCCACGGCAAAAACAAAAUCUAUAGCACUAACAGGUUAAGGAAGCAACAGGAGAGGAGGGACAUGUACUCCGGUAAUCCACACAAGCACCAGCACUC